rnacentral:rRNA from 1 species
UACGUAGGGGGCAAGCGUUGUCCGGAUUUAUUGGGCGUAAAGCGCACGCAGGCGGUCUGUUCAGUUUGGAGUGACAGUUCCUGGCUCAACCGGGAAAGUGCUUCGAAUACUGGCGGACUUGAGGGCUUCAGAGGGACACGGAAUUCCCGGUGUAGUGGUGAAAUGCGUAGAUAUCGGGAGGAACACCAGUGGCGAAGGCGACUACCUGGCCUGUUCUUGACGCUGAGGCGCGAAAGCCAGGGGAGCGAACGGG